CCUACGGGUGGCAGCAGUCGAGAAUCAUUCACAAUGGGGGAAACCCUGAUGGUGCGACGCCGCGUGGGGGAAUGAAGGUCUUCGGAUUGUAAACCCCUGUCCUGUGGGAGCAAAUUAAAAAGAUAGUACCACAAGAGGACGAGACGGAUAACUCUGUGCCAGCAGCCGCGGUAAUACAGAGGUCUCAAGCGUUGUUCGGAAUCACUGGGCGUAAAGCGUGCGUAGGCUGUUUCGUAAGUCGUGUGUGAAAGGCGCGGGCUCCACCCGCGGACGGCACAUGAUACUGAGAGACUAGAGGAAUGGAGGGGGAACCGGAAUUCUCGGUGUAGCAGUGAAAUGCGUAGAGAGCGAGAGGAACACUCGUGGCGAAGGCGGGUUCCUGGACAUUAACUGACGCGGAGGCACGAAGGCCAGGGGAGCGAAAGGGAUUAGAUACCCGGGUAGUC
rnacentral:rRNA from 1 species